rnacentral:lncRNA from 1 species
CCCUAUUGUUUUUAGUUUCCAAUUCCAUGUUCUCAAGUCAACAACAAUAAUAAAAGAACACACCUAGAAGUGAAAACUCAAAGUUUCCAACUAUGAACAUCCCCACAUAAUGAUGAUGGUUAUAGAAUUAAGGAACACACAUGAAAUAAUAAGUUUGACUAUUUCUACCCCCUUCUACCAAAACCCAAUCAAAGAAAGGCUACUUUACCAUUGCUGAAGGAGAAAUGGAAGCAAAAGCAAUAAUGAAUCCAGCGUCAUACCCGGAAAGUGAAGAAGCCUUUGUAGCUGUUUCUGCGGAUAAUGGUCACGAGUACUUAAAGCUUCGGAAAAGCACUUUAGCAUAACCAUAAUAUAACCCCAUCUUUUAUUAGAAGCAAUUAUGAGUGUGAUUGAGUACUGUAACCAACAAUAAUAAUCACACAAACUUCGAAGAUUUUUCCAUUACCUAUUUGCUGUCUCCACCAUGCCACCCACUACCAUUUAAGACCUUAUAAUUUCAUGUCUUGUGCUUCUCCACACAUCGCCAUCACCUCAAAAGUCGGUGACUUCAAAAAAAUUUAAUCCCAAUAAUUGGUGCA